AGGGGGGAAAUUAAAUAAUAUAAAAUUAUUAAAAGAAUUUUUGAAGUUAAAAAUAAAUAAUGGGGGUUAAAGUAUUUUUAAUAGAAAAAAUUAAAAUUUUAAUAGUAAAUUAGUAUUGAAAAAGAAUUUUGAAAUAUAAUUUAAAAAUUAAUUUGUUUAAAAGAAAUUUUUAUUUAAUGUAUCUUGUGUAUCAGAGUUUAUUAAAUAAGAAAUUUAAUUAAAUAAAUCUCGAAUUUAAAAGAGCUAAUUAAUUAAAAAAGUUAAUGUAGUAAAAUUAUUUUAAAUAAUUAAUUAGAAAUUAAAUGUUAAUCGUUUUUAAAAAUAUCUAGUUUUUUUAGAAAAAAAUUUAAUUUUAAAUUUAAUUUAAUUAAAAUUUAUUAAAAUAAUUUUAAUAAAAUUAAAUUUAAUAAUUUAAGGGAUAAGCUUUAAAUUAAAAUAUUAUAAUAAAUUAAAAUUUAAAUUUAAAAUUUUUAAAAUUUAUAUUGUUUAAAAAUUAUAAUUUUUUAUAAAAAAUUUUAUAAAAAAUAAAAUUUUAUAUAAAAUUUAAUUUUUUAUAAAAAAAUAAUUUUUAAUUAUAAAAAAUUAAUUAUAAUGAUAAAAUUAGUAUAUUAUAUAUUAUUUAAAUUAUAAAUAUUAAAUAUAAUUAAUUAAAAGGAAUUCGGCAAAUAUAUAUAUUCACUUGUUUAUCAAAAACAUGUCUUUUAGAAAAUAAUUUAAAGUCUAAUCUGCCCACUGAUAUAUUAUAUUAAAGGGCUGCAGUAUAUUGACUGUACAAAGGUAGCAUAAUCAUUAGUCUUUUAAAUGGAGACUUGUAUGAAAGAUUUAAUGAAAUAUAAUCUGUCUCUUAAUUAAUAAUAAAAUUUUAUUUUUUAGUAAAAAAGCUAAAAUUUAUUUAAAAGACGAGAAGACCCUAUAGAGUUUUAUAUUUAUUUUAUUUAAAAUUAAAUAUUUAAUUUAUUAUAAAAAAUAAAAUAAUUAUUGUAUUGGGGUGAUAGAAAAAUUUAUGUAACUUUUUUUAAAAAUUAAACAUUAAUAAAUGAUUUUAUGAUCCAUUGAUAAUGAUUAUAAGAAAAAAUUACCUUAGGGAUAACAGCGUAAUAUUUUUUUUUAGUUCAUAUAAAAAAAAAAGUUUGCGACCUCGAUGUUGGAUUAAGAUAAAAUUUAAAUGCAAAAGUUUAAAAUUUUGAUCUGUUCGAUCAUUAAAAUCUUACAUGAUCUGAGUUCAAACCGGUGUAAGCCAGGUUGGUUUCUAUCUUUAGAAAAUUAAAAUAUUUUAGUACGAAAGGAUCAGAUAUUUAAAAUAAUUUUAACAAAAGAAUAUUAUUAAUAAAAUUUAAAAUUAAAAUAAUUUAAUUAUUAAAUAAAGUAUAUAUAUAUAUAUAAUGUAUAUAUAUAU
rnacentral:rRNA from 1 species